rnacentral:lncRNA from 1 species
ACCAAUUUAAGAUUAGUAAUGUAGACAUUACAAAGGCCUUCCUUCAAACUUGAUCAACAGAGUAUGUCAAGAUCUUAGUGAGCUUGUUGUGCUAUCUACAAGGCUUACUAUAGAAAUUGAUAUGAUGUUGAUCAGGUGCAUAUUGAUGCUUAUGGCAUAUUUAAAUAGUAUUGCUUUGUUAUCCUAUCCACAAAGAUAGCAUUAUUUAAGUAUGACCAUAUGAGAUUGAAGUGUUAACUUAACUAGAACACUAUAGUUUAUUGUGCUAUCCACAAGACUAUAUGUGAUCUAGAGGCAAGAGAGAAAAAUAUUGAGAAUUGUAUAAGUAUAAUU